rnacentral:rRNA from 1 species
GACGAACGCUGGCGGCAUGCCUAAUACAUGCAAGUCGAGCGAACAGAUGAAGUGCUUGCACUUCUGACGUUAGCGGCGAACGGGUGAGUAACACGUAAGGAAUCUACCUAUAAGCGGGGGAUAGCAUUCGGAAACGGGUGCUAAUACCGCAUAAUAUCUUCUUCCGCAUGGAAGAAGAUUGAAAGACGGCUCUGCUGUCACUUAUAGAUGACCUUGCGGUGCAUUAGUUAGUCGGUGGGGUAAUGGCCUACCAAGACGAUGAUGCAUAGCCGACAUGGGAGGGUGAUCGGCCACAUUGGGACUGAGACACGGCCCAAACUCCUACGGGAGGCAGCAGUAGGGAAUCUUCCGCAAUGGGCGAAAGCCUGACGGAGCAAUGCCGCGUGAGUGAAGAAGGCCUUCGGGUCGUAAAACUCUGUUAUAAGAGAAGAACAAAUUGUAGAGUAACUGCUACAGUCUUGACGGUAUCUUAUCAGAAAGCCACGGCUAACUACGUGCCAGCAGCCGCCGUAA